GCAUUCAACUUAAAUAUUUCAGCAUACACCAUUUCAAAUCCACAUCAAUGCUAAAUAAUCAUUAAGUGAGCAGUUUCACUUAGUUUAGUGUUGAAUGAGCGUGUUUACUCGGCAAAACCAUAAUGACCAGAAAUAUAAUUUUCUGGAUCUGCAAACAUUGUAACUUCAUUUAUAUUCAGUCAGCCAAAGGAUACAUCUUACAUCGGCAUUCCACUUUGCAUUUCAAAUAGUGGAUCCAAAUGAGUUCUCAGGUCGAUGGAAAUAGCAACAGGUAUCUCUUGAACAACUUGGGAUCCCAAGCAAAGAGAGCGAGACGAAGCAACUGUAGUAGAGCCAACUGAUUUGUGUCUUCAGCAUAACUACUGUUUCAUAUCCCAUUGUGAGCAAGAAUCCAAGAUCUUGUUAACUCAUCGCUACACUACAGAUUCUUCUCUCCAUUGUCAUCUGAAAUUAGGUCUUCCAGUUCAUCAAUAAUGGCAUCAUAGCAGAAAAGGUAUUGAUCCAUGGUCUGGACCAUCCCAAUUCGCUGAGACCUAAAAAUGGCUACUGUAUUAACGAUGUCAAGAGCAGACAUAUCUCCACCCAGUAUUCUCUGGAUGGUAUUAUGGAUUGUGCAAUAUGUUCCAGUCCUACCGAUACCAGCACUGUACAAGAGAAUGAGGCAUCAAGCUACACAAACAAUUAAAUAACAGAAUUCAAAAAGCACAUUUACAGGGUCAGUGAUCAGAGAAACCUGCAGUGUACUACAAUUGGUCCAAGACCAAGAGGCAAAUUGUACGUUCGUUUCAGAAUCUCACGAACAGCAAGUGUGUCUCUGGGAACUCCAUGGUCAGGCCAUUCAGGAUACUGAAUGUGUAAAACACACAAAGGU
rnacentral:misc_RNA from 1 species